rnacentral:rRNA from 1 species
UGGGGAAUAUUGGGCAAUGGGCGCAAGCCUGACCCAGCAACGCCGCGUGAGUGAUGAAGGUCUUCGGAUUGUAAAACUCUUUAAGCAGGGAAGAAGAAAGUGACGGUACCUGCAGAAUAAGCAUCGGCUAACUACGUGCCAGCAGCCGCGGUAAUACGUAGGAUGCAAGCGUUAUCCGGAAUGACUGGGCGUAAAGGGUGCGUAGGUGGUUUGGCAAGUUGGUAGCGUAAUUCCGGGGCUUAACUCCGGAACUACUACCAAAACUGUUGGACUUGAGUGCAGGAGGGGUAUGUGGAAUUCCUAGUGUAGCGGUGGAAUGCGUAGAUAUUAGGAGGAACACCAGUGGCGAAGGCGACAUACUGGACUGUAACUGACACUGAGGCACGAAAGCGUGGGGAGCAAACAGG